rnacentral:lncRNA from 1 species
AAACCUUCUCUGUAGGAUGUGAGGCUGUGCUCAAAAAAACUUCAUAAAUCACGCAGCCACGCUACCUGGGCUGGCAGCGGCAUGCUGGCCACCCUCGGUGCAUGGCUCGUGUUUACAACCACCAUGCUGAAGGAGGAAUGACAUUUCAUCUGUGGAAUGCAUUGUGGUUUUGGACAGAGAUGGUCCAGAGUGACUGGAUGGUAACCUCUGCCACUUGUUACUCAUCUGUUGCUAAGGAGGAGACUCAGAAAACGUUGGAAAACUAUGUGUCAUGUUCCCUCCUCCUGGGUCACGGAUGUGGCCAAGUGGAAAUGUGAGAUGUGUUGCCAAAGAGAAGAUUCCUUUGUUUGACUCAAGGAACAGCAUUUGAUUUCCCUGUCUUAGGAACAAUUUCCUUUACAGACCGGCAAGGCACGCCUCUGAAAACUCAAGGCAACCUGCCCCGGGUAGACAUUUGUUUAUUUGAAGGCUAACAGAGGAUGAAGAAAAUAUAGAAGGAAAGGAAUGAAAAAUUGAUUACUCCAAAGCAGCAGAGAUGCCAAUGGUGGCAGAUAAAUGGGUUUUCUCUGUAAAAUAUGAGAACUAUUACUUGGCUUAUACUCGGCCCUACCAAUUUUAAAAAGCAAAAUACCUCCAUUCAGAUCUUCUAGUUUUAAGUAUGCUUUAAAUCAAUUGUAAUGUUUUCUUGCUUUUCAAAAAUAAAAAAAAGGUUUAAAUUA